CAGGCCCCAUGCAAGUCCAAAAUUCAGCAGGAUAGUCAAGUAUUAAAGCUCCAAAAUGAACUCCUUUGACUCCAAGUCUCAUUUCCAGGUCACAUGGAUAUAAGAGGUGGGUUCUCUUGACCUUGAGCAGCUCUGAAAUUUUACAAAAUUUUCUGUUCUGCUUCUCUUCUAAACAUAAGUAAUUCCAAACCGUAUGUUUUGAAUACAUAAAACUCUAAGUUACUAUAUUUGUCAAUGUGUUUAUUGUUACCAGAGAACCUUAUAUUUUUAUACAGCUUUAUGUUGCUGUCUAGCAUCCAGUUUUUCAAUUUGAAGGGCUCCUUUGAUUAUUUAUUUCAGAGCAGGUCUAGUGGGAACAAACUCAGCUUUUGUUUAUUUGGAAAAAGCUUUACUUUCUCCUUCAUGUUUGAAGGUCAGUUUUGCUAGGCACAGUAUUGUUGGUGACAAUUUUUCUCUUUCAGGACUUGGAAUAUAUUGCCCCACCUCCUUCUGGCCUGGAAAGUUUCUGCUGAUAAAUUGGAUGAUAAUCUUAAGGAGGCCCUUCAUAUGCAGCAAAUUGUUUUGUCUUGCUGCUUCCAAGAUUAUCAUUUUUUCAGUUAGCUAGGAAAAGUAAUUUCAAGAGAUCUAUUGUACAAUAUGGAUCACAGCUAAUAACAAUAUAUUGUAUUUUUGAAAAUCAUUGACAGUAAAUUUUAAGGGUUCUCACCACACACACACAAAAUAAUAAAUAUAUGCACAUAUGGUAAUGCACAUAUUAAAAAACUCAAUUUAGCAAUUCCACAGUGUAUGCAUUUUUAAAACAUAAUGUUGCACAGAAUAAAUAUGUACCUUUUGUCAAUUAAAAAUAAAUUAAUUUUAAAAAUAAAAUAAAAACAAAAGUUACAAGUAAAAAAGAUUCUCUCAUUGUGAAUGAUGUUAGGCAGUUCAAUUAUAUUGUGUCAUCAUGUGGUUCUCUUUGGAUUUAUACUUGCUGAAUAUUCUAUUCCUAGUUACUUCAGUGUUUCUAUCAUGAAGAGAUAUUGAAUUUCUCACAUGUAUCUUUUGAAUUAGUUAAUAUGAUUAUGUAGUUGUUCUCAUCCAUUAUUCUAUUGAUGUGGAAUAUUACACUGAUUGAUUAUUUUCAUUUCUUGAACCUCUGUCGAAUCCUGGAAUAAAUCUCAGUUGGUCAUGGUAUAUAAUUCUUUUUACGAUUCUGCUAGAUUAUUUUCUAGUAUUUGUAGAGGAUUUUUCCACCUAUAUUCAUAAGGGAUGUUAGUGUGUAGUUUUAUAUUCUCAUGAUGUCUUUGUGUCUUCAUUUCUGGAAUGCAGUGAUUGAAGAAAUAUUUCUGUUGCUAGGAGAAAGGACCUUGAAACCUUGAAGUAUUCUGUGGUAUCCUGUGUGUACACAGUUCUUCUUCAAAGAGAACUUAGAGACAUUUACUUGGGUGACUUGACAUUAAAGGGAAGAGAUUGCCUAGAGCAGGGGGCAGCACACUGUGGACUGAGAACCAAAUCAAGCCAGGCAUCUGUUUUUGCAAAUAAAGUUUUAUUAGAAAACAGCAAUGUCCAUUCAUUUACACAUUGUCUAUGGCUGAUUUCAUGCUACAAUUGCAGAGUCCAUAAUUGCAACUAAGAUGUUAUGAUUUGCAAAACCUAAAGUACUCACCAAUUAACAUUUUAUAAAAUAUGUUUGCUGACCCUUGACAUUUGAGGACAGUUGGACAUGGGUCUAAGGUGACAUUGAUACCCAAAGAGCCAAAGCAUCAUCAUGGCCCCCUGAUAAAGUGGGAGCUUAUAGGGUUAUGUAAUAAUUAGUGUCCUGGGUGAAUUCAGUUAAAUUCUGCAGACCAACCCAGCAGUUCUCUUCCCAGUCCCUGAAUGGAUAAUUCGAUUAAUAUACUUGACCAUUGGGGUAGCUCCUGCAUUGGGCCCUUUGCCUGUCAAGUAAGAAGGACAUGUGAAACCACCUGAAACUGCCACCCAAGUCACCUACAUAGCAAAUCAAUAACAAUAUCGCAUGCUCAUAGGGGGCUGGAGUUGUGUUGAAGAGAUGAGUGUCAUUUUAAAAGUCCUUAAGCUUGUGGUGGGAUACGGAGUGGUGGGGGUUUUUAUCAUUUUCUUUUAACUCCUCAGUGCAGCCUCUUUAGUAGCAAGCUGUAUCCUGAAGGAGAACUGGAGAUUACCUCAACCAACCAAGUUGCCACUCUGAUGGCAGCUUCAGCUCCAGACACAGAGUUGUUUUUAGAAUUGAUUCCAACAGCCAAUUGGGCACAUGGUGCACAACCCUGAAUUGUUGGAUAUACUCUUCUCUUCUGAUCAGAACAGAAGUCUUAUUGGAAUUCAUGUGGAAAGGACAAUAGUUACUACUAGUCUUGCCCUAGAAUUAUGUUUACUCUACUUGGCCCUGUUAUAUAAGGGAACAAAGCCAUCUGGUGCAUCUGCAGAACACUAUGCUGAUCUACUUUGUCGAGACGUCAUGCUGAUUGGGUUGGAUAAGCAAGAAGCCAUGGAGGUCUUGGGAAGAUACAUGCACUCCAGAGGGUGGAUGCAGGAGCUAAACUCUGAGAAGAUUCAGGGACUUGUCACUUCAAUAAAGUUUUGAGGUGUUUAGAAGUCAGAGGAUUUGUAGAAUGUUUCUUACAGAGUUCAAGCAAAUUGUUGUUGCAUCUUGCAUCUCCUGCCACAAAGAAGGAAGUUGAUCACCUGGAUAGGUCCUUUGGGAUCUGGAGAUGACACCUUCUACAUCAGAUGACUUAGACCAUGGGCAGCUAGGAACAGGUCCUUGGGACAGGAAAGGGCUCUGCAGUAGGUUCACUCUGUAGUGGAUGCUUCCCUGCCACGUGGUCUGUGAAACCUACACUCCCCAUGGGGGUGUCAGUAGUAAGUGCACAUGCAAUGGGAGAAUCACAACACAGGCUCUUGGAAGAGAUGCAGUCCAUGCCAUCUGCAGCUGAAAAAUCCGCCCCCCCUUGGGACAUACUACCUGGCAUAGUACUGGACCCAGACUGGGCUGGCCUGUGGCUUGCUUUAUCUGAUAGGAUGUGCUGGAGAGGUGUGUGAGCUGGAGGCCUCGAAGGCCUUGCAGCUUCUGCUUAGAACCUCUUACAACGCCAACAUCAACUCCCCAUCAGCCUCCUGGGAAGAAGCCCAGUAACCCCAAUGGAAGCAUGAGAGGCCCUAGGAGAAGAAUUAAGAUGCCAUCGCCAACAGCUGGCACCAGCAUUCCAGAGUCUGAAUGAGGCCAGCUUGGAUCCCAAUCAGCUGCAUGAGUGACCCCAGGAGAGAUAAAAUGUUCUACAGGAAUCAAAGCUUGUCAUUCACUCAGGCCCUCACUUGGUGGCAGUAUGUUAGAGAAGACUGCUUGUUCCAGAGCCUGGUUCUCAGCUUUGCAAUCUACAGAUGGUUCAUUCUAGCCACGUGUGCAAGGAUGUGAUAUACUAGAGUGCACAUUGAUUACUUGAACUUCCUUGAAAUAUCAUUUUCAAGACAAGACUACUAAGGACUAAUCUUCAUCAUCAUCAUCAUCAUUAACAUAAUCACAGCUGACAUUUACUGAACAUUAGCAAUGUGGUAAGCACUGCAGUAGGAGUUUUCACGUGUCUACUCAUGUAAUCCUCAAUGCAACCUUAAAGAAGACUACAAUGCCAGCAUCUGGGAUAACUACUAGAAUGUUCUCUGCCAUCCACUAAGCAUUGAAUCCCUCCAGACACUGUUACAACAGACAAAAACCUGUACUGGGCUACUGACAACAAAGCUGUGGCAAAUCUCUGGAAAAGCCCAACAUUCGGCUGUGGGAGAAAGAAGAGAAUUAUCCAAAAUAGAGUGAGCAGGAAAGGCUCCAAGGAUGUGAAGAAAACGAGGCCAGAGUGCUCUGGAGGCCAACAGGAAGGUAGUCUCCAGAAUUGUGCAAGUGACGUACUUUCAGGUUUGCUGCCAUUCACAACAGACAACCUACCAGCUUUCAUGGUCUAAAGAGGGCUUAAAUUUAAUUUGCAAAUAUCUUCAGAGAAGAAAUACAGUCUCUACAGUCUAUACUGAGUUAUAAGUGACUGAUACCAGCUCUUCAUUAGAAGGUUGUUCUUUCUUCUAUUUGCCAUGAACUACAGGGGUCAAAAGAAGGGUUAGCACUAUCCUAGCUCCCUGUUAAUUCUUGCAAAUCAGCACUCUUUUAUAACCCUUUGUAACAUCCCAUUUCAAUGCAUAAUAGAAGGUAUGCAGUCUUCCACCUCCUCAUUGGUGGGUGCCAUUUACACACUCCUGGCCAAUCCCCUCAUUCAUGAAUGAUAUUCAUACCUUCCUUAAAGUCAUCAUGCUUAAUGUCUUCUAUAGCAUUGAAUAAACUCUGUACUAUUUCCUUCACAGUGACUUCA
rnacentral:lncRNA from 1 species